UGGCCACUUAAAAGACAUGGCUGCAAACAAAUUUGUGGCUACCCUGUAGCAAAGAGUGUAACAUGUAAAUGCAUGUAUCAUUUCUAAAAUAUAUAUAUAUAUAUAUAUAUAUAUGUAAUGCCAAUUUUUUUAUAACAUUUACAAUGUUAUAUGGAAUGUUAAAAUCAUUUUUUCGAAUCCCCUAUAUAUUAUUUGUGAAACAUUACAACUUCUUUUUGUAGCCACGUGUCAUCACUACGAUGAUUCUUAGCAUUAUUAGAGAAAUGGGUUGGUCCAUCUAAAUAUAUAAUAAGCUUUUUAUUAAACUAACCAUAAAUUCAUUAUUAAUGUCAUUUAUUAUUUCCUUAAAUAAAGAUUACGGAAUUGCCUAAUGUGGGUAAAGUAUAUAUGACAAUUAAUGAUUUUGAAUAAUAAAGAUCUGAUAAAAAAAAUAAUGUAUCUUCUAUCAAAUUUGUUUAAUUUUAAACUAUUAAAAUAUUUUUUAUAAAACCACAAUAACCAUAUUAUAAAAAUUUAGUUUUUUCUGUAUAUGUUAUAUUUUAAAUUUUAAAAAACGACUAUAAAAAUGGCACCUGCAUUGACAAAAGAGCAGAAGCUUAUGUGAAGGAAGCUGAAUCUCUUGCCUUGGAGCGAUCACAAAGUUCCACUUGACCUGUGAAACUGCAUCGGCACCCUCUAACCAGCAGCUCACUGUUGCUUAUAUUGAAAUGGUAACUAAUGUUGAUGCUGAACCCAAUGAGUCUCCGGCAGCUUCUCUAUGCAGAGACGUUGGAGUUGAUGGACAAUUGACCACCGACGAUUGUCGACCACCAGAUUCGCUGGUCUGCCAUUGAAAGGUGACUAAAAGACCAGAAACAGGGUGCAGAGUGUUGUGACUGGGUUGAAGGAUGACGUUUCUAGGUUGAAGUAAAGCAUCGACUUGUUGUCGAAGAUGAAUGGAGUGGAUCCUAUUACUCGUCAACAUAUUCCACGUGAGAGUGGUGCAUCUGCUCCAAGUCCUCAUUCUGAUUCUAGCCAAGAACUUAAUCAGCACUCUCCCACUCAUUAACUCUUCAAUCUAUCCUAGGUGUAUUGUGUUUCCUUGUGCAAUAUUAAUCUAUGUCUUUUGUAAAAUCAUUAGAUGUUUUCUUUAACUUAAAAUUGUAAUGAUAUUUUGAAUGAUUUAGCUAAUUAUGUCUUUUUUGUAUAAUUAA